UGGUUAGGACCCGAGCUCUCGGAAGUGGCAGACAACCACAAGUACUACCUACUGAGGUCAUCAUAGGACAUUGACGCGGUCGUGGUCAUGGUAGAGGCAGAGCAGCCGGGGCAGCGCAUGUUGAUCCACCAGUUUCCCCAGCUCAUGAUCAGGCUCCAGUUGUUGACACUCCAGCAGCACCUGUUCCGGCACCAGCUGCGCUUACCGUGAUUCCAGAUCUUUAGGAGGCCUAGGCACAGAUCUUAUCAGUUUACAAUGGCCUGGUUCAGGCCUUUCAGCCAUCACAGCAGUAGCAAUAGCUACUUCAUAGUCUAGGGGAGGCAAUCAGACCCCUGCUGCUGGCACACUUGAGCAGGUGGUGUAGGGACUACAAACAC
rnacentral:lncRNA from 1 species